GACGAACGCUGGCGGCGUGCUUAACACAUGCAAGUCGAACGGAAAGGCCUGCUUUCCCUUGUGGAUUGCGGGUACUCGAGUGGCGAACGGGUGAGUAACACGUGAGUGAUCUGCCCCCAACUUGGGUAUAAGCCUGGGAAACUGGGUCUAAUUCCCGAUAGGACUGCAGGGUGGUGCCUGUGGUGGAAAACGAUUUUCUAGUGGCUGGGGAUGAGCUCGCGGCCUAUCAGCUUGUUGGUGGGGUAAUGGCCUACCAAGGCGGCGACGGGUAGCCGGCCUGAGAGGGUGGACGGCCACAUUGGGACUGAGAUACGGCCCAGACUCCUACGGGAGGCGGCAGUGGGGAAUAUUGCACAAUGGGCGGAAGCCUGAUGCAGCGACGCCGCGUGGGGGAUGACGGCCUUCGGGUUGUAAACUCCUUUCGACCGCGAGGAAGCCACCUGGUUGGAAGGGUGGUGACGGUAGUGGUAGAAGAAGCACCGGCUAACUACGUG
rnacentral:rRNA from 1 species